GUGACUAAACAAAUGGCUAUUUCAAACAAAUAUAACUACAAGAGAUAGACAGUGGCUUUCAUCUGUAUCUUUUUUUGUUACUUUUAGGGCUUGCCACGCCAGAGCUGUGGUAAUGAAUGUGGGGUUUUUAUGCUUAUGUAUACCCUUUGCUCUGUGACCGGUGUGGCAAUUGAAUUCCAGGAGCGGUUUGCCUUCUGGACCGAUGAGGCCAGAAACUUGCUCCAAGGAAAACUUCAGCCAGUGUACAGGGUGCCAAAAAAGUGUGCCAUCUCUGAGGAAAUCCCACUUCACAUUCAGGCUGUUCCACAACAGAGGAAAAAAGAAUUGUCGACUUUAUUGUAAAGUUAAAGGGGUCUGAGGAGCAUUUGGUGGGUGUACUCAACGGGAAGCCCUCUAAGUGGUUGCGUAAGCAAGCAUCUUUCCAGGUGCCUGUCUACAUAGACAGUGAGGAAGAGCAAGAUAUCCCUUUGCUUAUCUUAAAGACGUACUGCACAGGACACCAACAAAACUGAGGUUUACAGAUGAAGUGCAGCUUAUCUGUGAUGUUCUUUUUCCAGAGGCCAUCAUACAUGCUCUGGGGGUCUUGAGGGGUUUGUCUUCAGAUGAUGCUGAGCAGGUCUACCUUUCUGGCACAAAAUAUCAUUACAGGUCAGAAUAUGAUUUAUUUUGACACAAUGCUCAGAGAAACUUUUUGUUACUGAUAUUUACAUUAACCCAUCAGUGCUUGUUCUCUAUUUCAGUGAAGUAGA